rnacentral:rRNA from 1 species
UGGGGAAUAUUGGACAAUGGGCGCAAGCCUGAUCCAGCCAUGCCGCGUGUGUGAAGAAGGCCUUAUGGUUGUAAAGCACUUUAAGCGAGGAGGAGGCUACUUUAGUUAAUACCUAGAGAUAGUGGACGUUACUCGCAGAAUAAGCACCGGCUAACUCUGUGCCAGCAGCCGCGGUAAUACAGAGGGUGCAAGCGUUAAUCGGAUUUACUGGGCGUAAAGCGCGCGUAGGCGGCUAAUUAAGUCAAAUGUGAAAUCCCCGAGCUUAACUUGGGAAUUGCAUUGGAUACUGGUUAGCUAGAGUGUGGGAGAGGAUGGUAGAAUUCCAGGUGUAGCGGUGAAAUGCGUAGAGAUCUGGAGGAAUACCGAUGGCGAAGGCAGCCAUCUGGCCUAACACUGACGCUGAGGUGCGAAAGCAUGGGGAGCAAACAGG